CAUAGAAGCGGAUGGUGCCCUUCUUCUCCGCAACCAUCAGCUGAUGACGAGAAAACAGCCCAAAACUGUUUCUUCUAUACGCGUAUUGAGUGAUGUCAGAGUUGCGCAUCAGUCAAUACCGUGGAUGCUCAUGUGUCAUUUGAGACACCCCCACCCACUGGUUAGCCCUGGUGACUCCCAUAAAAUCCCGGUUGUCCACGAUGCACGAAUGGGUUAACGGCGUCUACCUUGAAGACUUCUUCUGGGUGCCAGCACACGCUGAUGCCGGGAGAGUGGAGUCGGAAAAUCGCGUUUUCAUUUCCAUCCAAGUCCCACACCCUGGAAGAAAUUACAACAGAAUACAUAUGAAAUCCAGGAAAACAAACCGCCGGCCAAGGCGAAGCUCCACUGCACGCUACUCGACCGGCGCCAAAGUGCGGUCCACCGCGCUACCCUUCAAACGGGGCUCCGCGGACAAACACGAACAGCGUAAAAAAAAAAAAAAAAAAAAAAAGAAAGAAAAAAAAAAAGAACAUGAAACCGCUGACCUGCUGAACGCUACAUCGCUCAGGACGCUCCAAAGGACAUCUGAGGUUGGAUCAAGAAAACAUGCAAAUCUAUUUUUCCGCAUAGAGAAACAGUAUUAAGUUGGUCGUACAACAAGUUGUGCAAAAAGUAGUGAAUCUUUGAACAGGUGGACAUGUACAUUCAAAAUAGGUGUGAAAUCAUUAAUCGAAUAACUUGAAUAAAUGAACACCUGCACCUCACAUGCACAUGUAGUUGUGUAAAAUGCAAAAUCUAGUUGUAUCCAAUUGUGUGAUUAAUCGAUGGGAUAAUCAGUAGAAUCAAUUGUAAAAAUAAUCAAUAGCUGCAACGCCAAAUCAAAAGUUUAGAAAAAGUCAAAUUAGGUUCACAUGUAAAGGUUAUAGGGCCUUUCAGGUUCAUAAUAUUUCAAACAUUUGUUAGGAGUGUACAACCAAUUUAAUCCCAGUCGGUAUCAUCCAAUUGUUUUAAUAAAACAUUUAUCUCGACAGAGUUGACGUACCCCUUUCUCCCUAAAAAAAGACAUUUGCAAAAAGCAGAGACGCAAUGCUGAGGCCACCAAACCGGGCUCCCUCAACACGUCGGCUGCGCCUAGAAAUUCUGUUCAUCAAGGUAAUGAAGAGAAUUGGUGACAAAGGGCAGCCUUGACGGAGUCCAACCCUCACUAGAAACGAAUCUUACAGCCGGCAAUGUGAACCAGACUCUGGACACCAGACACCGUACAGGGGCGGAACAGCCCUUAUUAAGGGUUCCAGUAUUCAAUAAUCCCGGAGCACCCCCCACAAGACCUCCAAAGGGAAACGAUCCACCACCUUCUCAAAGUCCACAAAGCACAUGUAGAUUGGUUGGGCGAAGUCCCAUGCAACUUCGACGAUCCUACUGAGGGUGUAGCGCUAGUCCACUGCUCCACGGCCAGGAUGAAAACCACACUGCUCCUCCUGAAUCUGAGGUUUGACUUCCAGAUGGACCCUCCACUCCAGAACCCCUGAAUAGACAUUACCAUGGAGGCUGAGGAGAGUGAUUCUCCUCUUGUUGGAACACACUCUCCACCACCUCAGUCUGUCAAUCCAGAGGCACUGUCCCCAAUGUCCACGUGAUGUUACAGAGGCAUGUCAGCCAAGGCAACCCAACAUCCAGAGCCUUUAGGAAUUCCGGCCGGAUCUCAUCCACCCCUGGGACCCUGCCACCGAGGAACUUUUUAACCACCUCAGUGAUUUCAACCCCAGGGAUGGGAGAAACCGCCUCGGAGUCCCCAGACUCUGCUUACUCCUAGGAAGGCGGGUCGGUGGAAUUGAGGAGGGUCUUUGAAGUAUUCAGCCCACCGACUCACAACGUCCUGAGUUAAUGUCAGCAGCACACCGUCCCCACUUUACACAAUGUUGACGGUGCACUGUAUCCCCCUCCUAAGACGUUGGAUGGUGGACCAGAAUUUCCUCGAAGCAGUCCGGAAGUCCCCACCGAACUCAUCUGACGUCCAAGGUUUUGCCUCAGUGACCACCAAAGCUGCAUUCCGCUUGGCCAGCCGGUACCCAUCAGUUACCGCCGGAGUCCCAAUGGCCAAAAAAGCUUGAUAGGACUCCAUCUUCAACCCUUACCGCUGGUGUCCACCAACGGGUUCGGGGACUGCCGCCACAACAGGCACCGAACACCUUACGGUCACAACUCCAGGUGGCCGCCUGAACAAUGGUCCACUUGGACUCAAUGUCCCCCGCCUCCCUCAGGACGUGUUCAAAGGUCUGCUGGAGGUGGGAACUAAAGCUCAUUUUGACAUGGGACUCUGCCAGACGAUCCCCAGCAGACGCUUACAAUACAUUACAGGUCGUACUGGCAUGUUCACCAGCCAUCGGAGCCAACAUACCACCAGGUGGUGAUCAGUUGACAGCUCCGCCCCUCUCUUCACCUGAGUGUCCAAGAUAUGCGACCGCAAAUUAGAGGACACGACCACAAAGUCGAUCAUCAAACUGCGGUUUAGGGUGUCCUGGUUAUGUUUGAACAUGAUGUUUGUUAUGGACAGUCCGUGACAAGCACAGAAGUCCAAUAACAAAGCACCGCUCGGGUUCUUAUUGGGGGGGCUGUUCUUCUCAAUCACGCCCUUCCAGGUCUCACUGUCAUUUCCCAUGUGAGUGUUGAGGUCCCCCAGAAGAACGAGGUAGUCUCCAGUAGGGGCGCUCCACAGCACCGAUGCAAGGACUCCAAAAAGGGUGGAUACCAUGGUGCAUAGACACAAACAACAUUCAGGAAACAUACCCCCAUCCGAAGGCAGAGGGAGGCUAUCCUCUCGUCUACCAGGAUAAAGCCAAACGUACAGGCAUCGAGCCGGUGGGAAAACAGUAUGCCCACACUUGCUCGGCGCCUCUCACCAUGGG